GACGAACGCUGGCGGCGUGCUUAACACAUGCAAGUCGAGCGGUAAGGCCCUUUCGGGGGUACGACGAGCGGCGAACGGGUGAGUAACACGUGGGUGACCUGCCCUCCAGCUCUGGGAGUAAAGCCUGGGAAACGUGGGUCUAAUACUGGAUAUGACUCCACGGUGCAUGUCGUGGGGUGGAAAGCCUUGUGCGGCUGAGGAUGGGCCCGCGGCCUAUCAGCUUGUUGGUGGGGGUGA
rnacentral:rRNA from 1 species